rnacentral:rRNA from 1 species
UACGGGGGGGGCAAGCGUUGUUCGGAAUUACUGGGCGUAAAGGGCUCGUAGGUGGCCAACUAAGUCAUACGUGAAAUCCCUCGGCUUAACCGGGGAACUGCGUCUGAUACUGGAUGGCUUGAGGUUGGGAGAGGGAUGCGGAAUUCCAGGUGUAGCGGUGAAAUGCGUAGAUAUCUGGAGGAACACCGGUGGCGAAGGCGGCAUCCUGGACCAAUUCUGACACUGAGGAGCGAAAGCCAGGGGAGCAAACAGG